CCUACGGGCGGCAGCAGUAGGGAAUCUUUCACAAUGGGCGAAAGCCUGAUGGAGCAACGCCGCGUGCAGGAUGAAGGCCUUCGGGUUGUAAACUGCUUUUAUAAGCGAGAAAUAUGAUGGUAACUUAUGAAUAAGGAUCGGCUAACUACGUGCCAGCAGCCGCGGUCAUACGUAGGAUCCGAGCAUUAUCCGGAGUGACUGGGUGUAAAGAGUUGCGUAGGUUGCAUAAUAAGUAGCUAGUGAAAUCUGGUGGCUCAACCAUUCAGACUAUUAGCUAAACUGUUAAGCUCGAGACCGUUAGGGGUAACUGGAAUUUCUAGUGUAGGAGUGAAAUCCGUAGAUAUUAGAAGGAACACCAAUAGCGUAGGCAGGUUGCUGGGACGGUUCUGACACUAAGGCACGAAAGCGUAGGGAGCAAACGGGAUUAGAUACCCGUGUAGUC
rnacentral:rRNA from 1 species